AUUUAAAUAGUUUAAAAAAAAUUUUGAUUUGUGGAAUCAAAGAUAUAUAGAUAUAUUUUAAAUA
rnacentral:tRNA from 1 species